ACUGCCCAAAAUUUGAUUUCAGGCUAGAAUACCCCCUUAACUUGAAUUUUAAGCUCAAUUCAACUUUUGUUUUUGUAAUAAUUUUAAUUUUACUUUUAAUUACGUCUUUGGUGAUGGCUUAGACCUACUCACACUCACCUUAACUCCACAAGCGCCUCCCAGUGUGCAAUUAGUGCCGGCAAAAUGUACUAUUGCGCAGCGAUCGGUACCAGCUAUGUUGUGCGUUGCUUUAUAGUUCUUGCGCUGUUGGUCCACCAGAAUGCACCAAGUGGAGCGAUUACGUAUAUAAAGCUGUACCUUUUCAGAAGCGUUUCCCGGCGCUUGACUCUAUGAAUGAGACUCGACAGUGUCAAAAACAUAUCUGGGUCAUGUUUUCAGUCAGUUCAAACAAUGUUGCGAACAAGUAAUGUUUUUUCUUCGAAGAGAAGUAAUGGUUUUGAGUAAUGGUAAUAAUGAUGAUAUAUGUAUGUAUGUAAAUGAAUAGUGAAAUGUAAUGUUAAAGUAAUGA
rnacentral:misc_RNA from 1 species